GAGGGUAUAGCUCAAGUGGUAGAGCACAUGCUUAGCAUGCAUGAGGUGCUAGGUUCAAUCCCCAGUAGCUCCA
rfam:Camelus ferus unplaced genomic scaffold scaffold1111, whole genome shotgun sequence.